rnacentral:rRNA from 1 species
UACGUAGGGCGCAAGCGUUAUCCGGAAUUAUUGGGCGUAAAGAGCUCGUAGGCGGUUUGUCGCGUCUGCCGUGAAAGUCCGGGGCUCAACUCCGGAUCUGCGGUGGGUACGGGCAGACUAGAGUGAUGUAGGGGAGACUGGAAUUCCUGGUGUAGCGGUGAAAUGCGCAGGUAUCUAGGAGGAACACCGAUGGCGAAGGCAGGUCUCUGGGCAUUAACUGACGCUGAGGAGCGAAAGCAUGGGGAGCGAACAGG